rnacentral:rRNA from 1 species
UACAGAGGUCUCAACCGUUGUUCGGAUUCAUUGGGCGUAAAGGGUGCGUAGGCGGCGCGGUAAGUCGGAUGUGAAAUCUCGGAGCUUAACUUCGAAACUGCAUUCGAUACUGCCGUGCUUGAGGACUGGAGAGGAGACUGGAAUUUACGGUGUAGCGGUGAAAUGCGUAGAUAUCGUAAGGAAGACCAGUGGCGAAGGCGGGUCUCUGGACAGUUCCUGACGCUGAGGCACGAAGGCCAGGGGAGCAAACGGG